rnacentral:rRNA from 2 species
UGGGGAAUAUUGGGCAAUGGGGGAAACCCUGACCCAGCAACGCCGCGUGAGGGAAGAAGGUUUUCGGAUUGUAAACCUCUGUCCUUGGUGAAGAAAGAGAUGACGGUAGCCAAGGAGGAAGCCCCGGCUAACUACGUGCCAGCAGCCGCGGUAAUACGUAGGGGGCGAGCGUUGUCCGGAAUGACUGGGCGUAAAGGGCGUGUAGGCGGCCGAUUAAGUCCGGAGUGAAAGUCCUGCUUUCAAGGUGGGAAUUGCUUUGGAAACUGGUUGGCUUGAGUGCGGAAGAGGUAAGUGGAAUUCCCAGUGUAGCGGUGAAAUGCGUAGAGAUUGGGAGGAACACCAGUGGCGAAGGCGACUUACUGGGCCGUAACUGACGCUGAGGCGCGAAAGCGUGGGGAGCGAACAGG